CACGUAGGCACCAAGCGUUAUCCGGAUUUAUUGGGCGUAAAGAGCUCGUAGGCGGUUCGGUAAGUCGGGUGUGAAAACUCUGGGCUCAACCCAGAGAGGCCACCCGAUACUGCUGUGACUAGAGUGCGGUAGGGGAGCGGGGAAUUCCUGGUGUAGCGGUGAAAUGCGUAGAUAUCAGGAGGAACACCGGUGGUGUAGACGGCUUUCUGGACCGUAACUGACGCUGAAACACGAAAGCGUGGGUAGCAAACAGG
rnacentral:rRNA from 1 species